rnacentral:rRNA from 1 species
UACGGGGGGAGCAAGCGUUGUUCGGAUUUACUGGGCGUAAAGGGCGCGUAGGCGGUCGUGACAAGUCACUUGUGAAAUCUCCGGGCUUAACUCGGAACGGUCAAGUGAUACUGUCGGACUAGAGUACAGAAGGGGCAACUGGAAUUCUCGGUGUAGCGGUGAAAUGCGUAGAUAUCGAGAGGAACACCUGCGGCGAAGACGGGGUUGCUGGGCUGAUACUGACGCUGAGGCGCGAAAGCCAGGGGAGCGAACGGG